CGGAACUCACUCUGUAGACCAGGCUGGC
rnacentral:piRNA from 2 species